rfam:Schistosoma mattheei strain Denwood, Zambia genome assembly, scaffold: SMTD_scaffold0021123
AUUCAACUGACGAGCCUCAAACAGGACGAAACCCGCAUCCUGAAU